GACAUUUCCCCCCGAGAGCCUCCAUGAAUAGCACCAAGAUGAGGACUAAUGACAAGCUUCCGUGCUUCCCAAAUGCCAUGUCAGGUUAUGAUGCCUUCUUUCCUAACUAGGGGCCAAGAGAAAAGGCUUUUCAGAUCUUCCAAAGUAUGUAUGACAUGAAAAGCUCAUUCUAGUAAAGGGAACCAGACCCCUGUCAUCUGACACUAAUGAGGUGCCCUUCCCUUGGCUUAAAGGGAUCUGGAGGAGGACGAGCAGAUAACCUUCAGCCUAAAUAAGUAAUAUCAUCACGGCUCUGGAAUCUCUCUGAAGCAUGCCCGGUUACAAUGUGGAAUUCUGCAGGGCACGUGUCCCUCUUGGACUCCUUCCAAAGGAGUAAGUUAUCAGAAGGACCUCAUUAUACCAUGGGCCCCGGGGACAGUGUUCACUGGCCCACUCUGGGGCAGCCGGUAAAAUUCUGGUGCUAGUUGGUUCAUCACUUGUUCAUACAGUCAAGCCUCAGUUAAAGAAGCAACAGCCCAGCUUGUGGCUGGCCCAGGUCUCAUUCCUUUGCUGCCCAGUUACCUUCUAGCUUGUUCACGGGGCACCUCGGAGUGCCUGACAAGAUGAGCCUCUUGCUUGAAAUGCCUGAUCCAGAGGAUUUGCUUGUGAUCUGUUGCUUUCUGGUACCUGCACCCCUGUUUCAUGCCACGCUCUUGGCUCCCUGAAGUUGCUCACAGGCGCGAGGAUUCUGCCGAUGGACUCAGCUCUCCCACAGAGGUCAGACACACAAGGCAAUGUCACAACAGUGAAAGAGAGAACCCAGCUGGCCAGCCUCAGGGGGUAAAAGGCCUUCAGAAUCCGCCUUGAGGCCCUCACUGGCUUUAGAUUGGAAGCCAUCUUGGCCCCAUCCACCAGCAUCAGCGAUUUACUGAUGGCCUGAAAAGCACCGAACUUAAACGAGAAAGAUGAGCACAAGGCAGGAAUUUGGACUCCAGAAGAAGGGCUAAGCACGGAUUAUUUUUCUAUGGUAUCUGACGAGAGCAAACUGAAGUUAAGAAUUUUCCUUUUGUUCUUCUGGCAUUGUUUACUUUCUUUUUAUUGUUCCGAACAGCACUUCGAGCUCUGGCCGUGUUUCUGUCCUAAAAUCUUACUGUCAGGAGUUUAUUUUUCAGCUGUUUCAAAUCAUAUCUGAUAGAGUGCGUGCUUUGCCUGGACGCAUCGCCGUACCUCAGAAGAAAUAAAGUUCACCCUUUUAAAUGACAAUUCUGAUUGUCUACAGCUUUAAGUGUUCUACACUUAAGCUGCAGGCUUCGUUUAAAAAUCUGUUUUCCCUCAUCAAAAAGGAGCUUUGGUGGAACUUCUCACUCUGCCGGCGUCUGGGUAAUGACCUAACACGUUAUUUUGGAGUAUCGCUGCGUUAUGUCAGGUUUUCACUGCAUGUAGAGUAAUUCUUUGUCAGUGGUUGUUUUGAGGGGACGGGGUUUUUUUUUUUUUUAUACUUGCACUUGAAAUUUUAAAAAUAUACACGCCUUUAACAUUUGCAAAGUUUAGUUCAGUUCUCUCGAAAAAGAAACCUAAUUUGCCGUAAUUCCUCUCCCUCUGUCGGGGCACGUGUGGGAGAGCUUCGUAGAGCUUACACACUGCCCUUCUGGAACGUGGACAGAAUAUCAGCACAGAAAAAUCAUCCCUUCAGCCAUGUGAUGAUGUGUGAAAAGCUCAGAUUAAUUUAGCAGGCAUUUUCUUGACACCUGUGGAAAGUCAGUGCGUGCGAGGGUGCAGCCUAAGGGUGACGAGGCCACCCUCCAGAGCAAGGCUGCCUGCCUAGGUGUAAUGGAUUGAAUGGGGGCCCUGAAAGAUUUGUGGACCUCCUUCCUUCCUGGAAACUGUGAAUGGGACCUUAUUUGAAAGAAAAAGGGUCUGUGCAGGUCUCUGAGGUGACAGCAUCCUGGAUUUACCAGGCUGAGUCCUACAUCCAGUGACAGGUGUCCUUGUAAGAGACAGAACGGAAAACACAGACACAGGAGAGGAGAAGGCCACAUAAAGACCCAGGCAGACUUUGGAACAAGGCAGCCACAAGCCAAGGAACGCCUGAAACAUUCGAAGCUGGAAGAGGCAAGGAAAAGAGUCUGUGUUAGAGCCUUCGGGCAAGUGCGGUCCCGCUAAUACCUUCACUGUGGACGUCGGACCCCAGAACCAUGAGAGAAUAAAGGAUUUCUGUUGUCCUAAGCCACUCAGUUUGUGCUAAUUUGUUACAGCAGCCCUCGGAAAUGCAUACAUCACUUACCAGCUGAGUGACCUUGGAGAAGUUAUUCAACCUCCACAAAUCAGUUCCUUCGAAGGAAAACUCUAGUGCCGGGUCUGUCGUGAGGAUAAAACGCUUUCACUUAGGUGACUGACUUGGCACAGGGCCAUACCUGGCAUGCUCUGGACGAGUGCUCGUUCUAGCCUGGCAGCAGGCAGCCGCCACAGAGCUGAGGCUUCAAUCCAGCAAGUGCUGGCUGAAAGAAUCACAAUCUCAGAAGUAGAAAACUUCCAGAAGAAGCUGGGUCAGCUGAUCUCAGUGCCUGGGCGACAUCUCCCAGAGAAUAGGAAAGAGGACGGGGUUCCCUGCAAGAGCCAUUCUUUAAAUGCCUCUAAAUCUGAGCGGUUUGGGAGAAGUGUGGCUUCUGGAGGGUUAUAUGCUGAGACUUUACGAGGACGCAUAUUGCAGCCCGUGUAUGUGAUUCCUCCGCACUCCACGGGUUUGACCGUCCUGCCUCGGUAGCCGUAAGGACUCCAGCCCAGGGGCGAGGAAUUGUCACCCCUCUGCCCGGAGCCGGGAACCUCGGUGGCCUCCAGCACCACUCCUAUGGUUUGGAGUUAUGAGGAGUUAGUAUCCCUCUUACAAAUGGAGUAAGAAGACAUGAUAAAGGGAAAGAGACGCUGAAAUUGAGAGCUGACUUCAUGAAGAGCUAAGAGGACGCUCGUGCUGCAUAUGAGUUAGAGAAAUCUCCAGAAAGAGAAGUGAGCUGGAUUAAAAGCUAUAAAAGUCAGGGGGGGAGUUGGUGCCUAUAGGAACCUUGUCUGAUCAGUCGACUCAAUGAUACAACUAAAUUGACUGACGCUAUAGGAUGUUGGAACUCUCCAUUCUGGCAACCUUAAAGUUCCUUUCAUCUGUUUAGCUUGAUCCCAGGGAACAAGGGAGAACCUGGCGGCAAAGGGGCACGGAUGACUAAGUCUACUUCCCUCAUGGAGAGAGACAUGGGGCUUUGGGCGAUUUCUUUGAAGUUCCUCUAGAGGCUUCUAAAGAUUGUUAGUGGCAUCUGGUCUUUAAUCCUGGACAUCAAGCUUGUUGAUUUUUGCCCUGGACCAUCUGUUUCUCGGCUUUCCAUGGAACCUUUCCUUUGUGACAAGUAGGGGAAGAAUACUGUAUUUUUAUUUCUUUCUGUUUUGCCUUCUAUCUCAGUCACAGAAUUAGAGAGGGAGAAUUUAUUUGCCUGAUGAGGCUCUGAAAGAUUAGACACAACGUGCUGACCUUGCUAUCUGCAGGGUGUUUCCCACAGGAUGGAUGCCUUUGUCCUUCACUCUAUGAUAGGAAGUCAGGGACCCUGAGUGCAGCUUUGUGACCAUUUAAUGUCUGUGCCCAGAACGCUGUUUGUACUACUAACAGUCAUCAUAGUGGUGAGGGGAGUCACUACCUGGAUUCCAGCUGAGUUCAUUUUCUAAGCAAGUGCCUGGACAAGGUAUCUAACCUCUCAGCUCCUAGUUUAUUAAGUGAGAGAAGGAUAGCACAUGCUUCACUGAGGCACUGUGAAGGUUAAACGAGAUAAUACAUGUCAAGCACUUCACUCAGUGUCUGCUAUUUAGUGAACUCCCAUGAAUAUUAGUUAUCAUCGUUAUUUAGUAUAAUAAUAGUAUUUCUAAAAAAAAAGUGGGAACAAGCUUUGCACUGGCCAGAGAACUUGCAGCAAGAAGGAUGGUAGGUAGUCAAACAGGCCUUUUCUUGAGUUUAUCACACUCCAAAGAAUUCAGUGUUGUCAAAUAUGAGAUAUGAAGCUCCGGAAUGGACUUUUCCAAACUGAUGAAUUCCAUAGGGAGGUUUUCUCCAUUGCCGUACAUAUGGUUGUGCUCUCAGGUUUCAGUCACCAUGGUGGUUCCGAAGCAGCCACAAACUGGGCUAAACCAACUGGGCUAAACACUGGGUAAACCAAGUGUCACCCUGAUCCAAGCUUCUCGAAUUCUACAAACCCUAGUGGUAGGUGGUACAACUGAGGCAGACUUCCCUGGAAAAUGCUUGCUGGGCAUUGUAGAGAUGCCCACUUCCAGGGGGCUGCAGAUACCUUUCUGGCCAUCAGAAUGAAGGCUGUGCUAAUGGAGCUACUCUUCUGGACAAAAUGGCAGCUCUCUCAUUGAAAGACGUUAGGAGACUGAUCUUUUUUUUUUUUUUUUUUUUCCUUUGCAACCACUAUUUAUUGCAUGAGAUUUCAGAAGAUGAUGAUAAAAGGCAAGUUUAUAGAGACACCAUGAGAUUGUAUAAAUAAAAUGAAGUCAUAUCUGGGAAAGAUAUACCAAAGAAAAUUGAACCCCAAAUGUCUAAUUUGCAACUGCAAAUGUCUGUUUGCUGUUCAUACUCAGCCAAGAGUUCCAUUGAAUUAAAGCACAGACUACAUAACUAUGUACACAGAAUGCCUUUAAAGUUCUUCCCUAAAUUUAGGGAAAAGCAAAAGUCUGUUUAGAGCUACCAAAGCAAAAUUCCUCACUGUGGAUUUAUAGGCACUAGUACGAGUGGUCCCCAAACACCCUUUUUAAUUUUUUUUUAUUAUAAAUAAGAAAGAACAGAUUCUACCCUCACAGCUUCCACCCUAGAACUUACAGUCUCCAGGCACGAAGGACAGAGUUCUUGGAAAAGAGGAAGGCUGAAUUCCAGAUCUCUGAUAGCAAAGUUAUAGUCUGACUGAACAUUAAUUACAUUUUAAAUCCACUGCAUUUUUCUUUGAAAUCCACAUAUUCUCCAACAUCUUGAAUGCUUUAUGUUGAAGUUGUAGAAAAGUUCCCCCAGAAUUUUUAUGCCUUUAUCAUAACAGUUUCUAUCUCUUAAUUUUCCUUUUCAGUUAACUGAGAGAAUCAAGUUGAAUAAGCAAUGAUAUAUGUCAUCCAUUUAAUACAGAAAUUCUGGGAAUUGUAGCUUUCUUUUGGUGCUUGCCAUCACUGUGUGUGUUGAAAUCAAGCAGUUUCUGUGUCCAGGUGAACCGUCCUAGGCCAUGUCUAAAGGGGCAAUGUCUUAGUCCUUGCUGUAGGAGAGUUCGUUACUGCUGAGACCCAUGUUUGAGCAGUGACUCGGGGACGUGGAUGGCGAAAGAGGAGGCAGUGGCUAUCAAGAGCUGUUGCUAAAUAGUUGGGGCCACAAACAAACAUACAUCCAACUAAGUCGUCUCUCUCCUAGGACCUACCAUCAGCAAGAAUGGUAAUGUGGAGAUAGACAUGCGGGCUGCGUGGGUCCAUUUGCCAUUUCUGAGUAUUCCUUCAUUCCAACUCUUAGUGCUACUAAAUUCUGAUGAUGUGACAUGGAAAUGUGUGGGAUGAAGGAAGAUUGGGGGGGAUUUACCCUCCAUCCUACAGCCUCAUGAUAGAUUGACUUGUCUACAUACAAAAUAGCUAUCAACUAAACUGAGACCAUAGGAGUUAUAUAAAGGUACCACAUCACUGCAUUUGUGAAAAGAUUCACAGUCCUCAUUUCAUAAAUUGUCUCAAUACCACCGUGAUGUACAUAAGAAUUAUCAUUCUCACUUUAUCAAGGAAGAGAGAGUGUGAGUGCUAAAUACAGGAAAAGUGCUUGAUCUUGCCAGCAAUAUAAGAAGUCACACAUUAAAACAAGAUAGCGUAUUUUAACUAUCAAACUAACAAAGAUUAUGUAGACCAUCAAACUAGAAAUAUUUAUAAAAAAUAGAUAAUAUCUUACGCUGGCAAAGUUGCACUGAGAUGGAAAUUCUCCUGGUGGAAGGACACAUUGGGUAAGUCUUUCUGAAGAGCAAUUUGCAACAUGCAUCUGGACCUUUAAAAGGAUUCAUUCCUUUGGAUGCAGUAAAUUCAUUUCUGAUAUUUCUUCUAAGGAAGCAGUAGGGAAUGUGGACAAAUUUUGUCUCCAAAAAUAUUUCUCACAAUAUGCUUCAUAAAGGCAAAAACUUGAAAAUAACCUCAGUAUUUAGCCAUAGAAAAAUAGUUCUGGUACACCUACAUAAUGGAAUAUGAGGGAAGGCCCUACAAAAGUCAUGAUUUGAAGAACUUUGAUAACGUGAGACAAAUGUUUAGAGUCUUAAGUGAAAAAGCAAGAUGAAAGACAUAAUAUAGCACCAUCACAGUUUAUAAAAACAUGCAUGUAAAUGUAUUCCAAUCAGACUGGAAGAAAUAGAACCGUAGUUAUCUCAGGUUUCUAGGUUAUGUAUAAUUUUGGAUCUUAAGAAUAGUUCUCUGUAUGUGCCACCUUUUUAGAAGGAGGAUGUAUUAUUUUUAUAGUCAGAAGAAAAGCGCAGCAAAAGUUCUCAAAAAGAAAUUAAAAUGUCAAAGAAAUAUGCUCAGAGAGAUUAGUUGACUUGGCCAAGGUCACACAGCUGCCAAGCAGAGGAGCCAGCACCUGAAUCCAGCUCUUCUGACUCUAAUCCCAGCGUCUCCUUACCCAUACCAUGGUGUCCCUGAAAAUAGUUAGCUUGAGCAAUGCAUCAUUGAUGUUUGAGUCAUUAGAACACAAACCAUUCAUGGAAUUCUGCUAGAGUCCAUUACUACUUAGAUUAGACUCAGGAAUACAGGCAAGCUUUGUGGCCUUGCUCAACUUUCCAAGCCCUGCAAGUUGCUGACAUCCACAUUUAAAAUGCUCAAGUAUGCCAAACUCGCCGCGGGGACCUGGUUUCCAAAAUGUAUCACCCACACUAGAUGUGAAACUCUCUUAACACAGAGAGUCAUGGAAAUCCAUCACAGAAGAUGAUCUGGAAAGCUUAUUUUUUCUAGCCACUUCCAAAUUGAACUAAACAGCCAAAUUACCCAGACAAUUUUCUAAAAAUACAGAUCCAGGUGCCACCCUAGAGAUUCUAUUUUAGUCAGUCUGGGGUGGAGCCUUGGCCUCGGUAUUUUUAAAAGCACUCUGGACAGGACCAUUUUUAAAAACCAUUGUAGCCAGUGGUAGAAAUGUGUCUGAAGAGGUCCCUGUAUGAACAGUGAGUCACAGGUGGUGAUCCCAGUAUUUAAGUUUAGGAACAAAUCUUCCUCAAAAUGAGGGUUUAGUUAGAACUUGAGUAUACUGGCCACUGAAACCUGUAACCACCUGGCUCAUCUACAUAAUGGUCACCUUGUCUCCCAUUGCUACCUGUAUUGGUUACCUGUUGCUGCUUAACAAAUGACACCCGAAACUUAGUGUCUUCAAACAAUAAAUGUUUAUUAUCUCAUAGUUUCCAUUGACCAG